rnacentral:rRNA from 1 species
AACGAACGCUGGCGGCAUGCCUAACACAUGCAAGUCGAACGCGUGUAGCAAUACACGAGUGGCGCACGGGUGAGUAACGCGGGGGAGCGUGCCCAGUGGUAGGGAAUAACUGCGGGAAACUGCGGCUAAUACCCUAUACGCCCUACGGGGGAAAGUUUUUCGCCAUUGGAGGGGCCCGCGUCGGAUUAGCUAGUUGGUGAGGUAAGAGCUUACCAAGGCGACGAUCCGUAGCUGGUCUGAGAGGAUGAUCAGCCACACUGGGACUGAGACACGGCCCAGACUCCUACGGGAGGCAGCAGUGGGGAAUAUUGGACAAUGGGGGCAACCCUGAUCCAGCAAUGCCGCGUGAGUGAUGAAGGCCUUAGGGUUGUAAAGCUCUUUCGACGGGGACGAUGAUGACGGUACCCGUAGAAGAAGCCCCGGCUAACUUCGUGCCAGCAGCCACCGUAACAC